GACAGAGGAUGCAAGCGUUAUCCGGAAUGAUUGGGCGUAAAGCGUCUGUAGGUGGCUUUUUAAGUCCGCCGUCAAAUCCCAGGGCUCAACCCUGGACAGGCGGUGGAAACUACCAAGCUGGAGUACGGUAGGGGCAGAGGGAAUUUCCGGUGGAGCGGUGAAAUGCGUAGAGAUCGGGAGGAACACCAGUGGCGAAGGCGGCUACCUGGACCAGCACUGACACUGAGGCACGAAAGCGUGGGGAGCAAACAGG
rnacentral:rRNA from 1 species